rnacentral:rRNA from 1 species
UACGGGGGGGGUAAGCGUUGUUCGGAAUUACUGGGCGUAAAGGGCUCGUAGGCGGCCAACUAAGUCGGACGUGAAAUCCCUCAGCUUAACUGGGGAACUGCGUCCGAUACUGGAUGGCUUGGAUUUGGGAGAGGGAUGCGGAAUUCCAGGUGUAGCGGUGAAAUGCGUAGAUAUCUGGAGGAACACCGGUGGCGAAGGCGGCAUCCUGGACCAACAUUGACGCUGAGGAGCGAAAGCUAGGGGAGCAAACGAG